rnacentral:rRNA from 2 species
AAAAGCGAAUAAGGGCGCACGGAGGAUGCCUAGACAACAAGAGCCGAAGAAGGACGUGAUAAGCUGCGAAAAGCUAGGACGAGUUGCACAUUAGCGUUGACUCCUAGAUAUCCGAAUGGGAAAACCUAUAUACUUGAAGAGUAUAUACGAAAGAGGUAAGUGGGCGAACUGAAACAUCUAAGUAGCCUGAGGAAAAUAAAGUAAAAACGAUUCUCUAAGUAGCGGCGAGCGAACGGGGAAGAGCCUAAACCAUGGUAGUGUUAAAGUUGGCACGUUGCUAUUAUGGGGUAGAGGGAUAGUUGAUUGACGGAUAGCCAUGAAGUCGACAAAUUAAAUGACGUAAGAGGAACACAACUGGAAAGUUGGACCGAAGAAGGUGAUAGUCCUGUAGAUUGUAAAAUCAUUUAAAUGUUUUAACUAAUCCCGAGUAGUAUCGGACACGAGGAAUCCGGUGUGAAUCAGCGAGGACCAUAUCUCGUAAGGCUAAAUACUCUUGUUGAUCGAUAGAGAAUAGUACCGUGAGGGAAAGGUGAAAAGAACCCUGAGUAAGGGAGUGAAAUAGAACCUGAAACCGUGUGCUUACAAACGGUAGGAGCCCUUAGGGGUGACUGCGUGGAUUUUGGUUAAUCAUCCUGCGAGUUAUGAUGUGUGGCAAGGUUAAGUAAACGGAGCCGAAGGGAAACCGAGUCUUAAUAGGGCGAUAAGUCGCAUGUCAUAGACGCGAAACCUAGUGAUCUAGGCCUGUCCAGGUUGAAGCUGGGGUAAGACCCAGUGGAGGACCGAACUCACCACCGUUGAAAAGUUGGGAGAUGAGAUAGGUUUAGGGGUGAAAAGCCAAUCGAACUAGGAGAUAGCUCGUUCUCUCCGAAAUGCAUUUAGGUGCAGCCUUAAUAAAGAUAUAUGGGGGUAGAGCUCUGUAUGGCCUAGGGGGCGUAUAGCUUACCGAAGUCAAGCAAACUGCGAAUACCAUAUAUUAAUUAUUAGGAGUGAGUCCAUGGAUGACAAGGUCCAUGGACGAGAGGGAAACAGCCCAGACCAUCAGCUAAGGUCCCAAAUUAUGUCUAAGUGGGGAAGGAGGUGGAUACUCACAAACAACCAGGAGGUUGGCUUAGAAGCAGCCAUACCUUUAAAGAGUGCGUAAUAGCUCACUGGUCGAGAGUAUCUGCGCCGAAGAUUUAACGGGGCUAAGACAUAAACCGAAGCUAUGGAAACUAGAUUUAUAUCUAGUUUGGUAGGAGAGCGUUCUGUAAGCCGUAGAAGGUGUACUGUAAGGUAUAUUGGAGGUAUCAGAAGUGAGAAUGCAGGAAUGAGUAGCGAGAAAGAGAGUGAGAAUCUCUCUGGCCGAAAGUCCAAGGUUUCCAGAGGAAGGUUUGUCCGCUCUGGGGGAGUCGGGACCUAAGUCGAGGCUUAAAAGCGUAGGCGAAUGGAAAAUAGGUUAAUAUUCCUAUACCACUAUAUAAACGUUAUUAGAGAUGGAGUGACGCAGGAAGGUAUGUGAGAAGGGCGACGGUUGUCCCUUUCUAAGGAAGUAGUGUGAACAUGGAGGCAAAUCCACAUGUUUAAACAUGAGAUCUUAUGGGUAAGUAGCUUAGGCUAUAAGUCACAAAUCCUAUACUGCCGAGAAAAACUUCUAUUGAGAUUAUGUAGUGCCCGUACUGUAAACCGACACAGGUGGACUGGGUGAGUAACCCGAGGCCGACAGGAUAACUCUAGCUAAGGAACUCUGCAAAAUGGCCCCGUAACUUCGGGAGAAGGGGUACCUAUGUUAUGUGAUAAGAUAAACACUUUGAGCAGAAAUAGGUCGCAGUGAAGAGUCCCAAGCAACUGUUUACCAAAAACACAGGUCUAUGCUAAGCUGAAAGGCGACGUAUAUGGGCUGACACCUGCCCAGUGCUGGAAGGUUAAGAGGAGGAUUGAGAGAUUCGAAUUGAAGCCCCAGUGAACGGCGGCCGUAACUAUAACGGUCCUAAGGUAGCGAAAUUCCUUGUCGGGU